CCGCCCUUAGCUCAGUUGGUAGAGCAACUGACUCUUAAUCAGUGGGUCUAGAGUUCGAGUCUCUAAGGGCGGACCA
rnacentral:tRNA from 1 species